GUCGGAUGCUCGACUGACUGAGACACCCAGGAGCCCCUAGCACCCCUCAAUACUUUUAAUAAAGAGUUUCAAAUAGGACACAUCUAGUUGCAGACACAGGAGUGUAUUUCUUGUAAUCUCAGAAGCAUUAAAGUAUACCUGUAUGAACACAUCUUUAAAAUUCAUUUAUAAUGUACAUUAAAUGACAGUAACUAUGGAUGUCAGCCUGUGUUCUAUUAUUUGCAAAGACAGAGUCUGCAAAUACUGAAAUUUAAAGAACAUUUACUAACAAAAUACGUAGGCUCUGUUACAGAAUACUCCAAAUGUGAUCCUAAGCAGUAAAAAAUAUUACUACACAUAAACUAGCCACUUAGAAUAAUUUAAAAAAAAAAAAAUAGAACUAUCCUACGACCCA